rnacentral:lncRNA from 1 species
GAUGUGGGGAGCGCCUCUGCCCCACCGCCCUGUCUGGGAAGAAAUUGUGAGCAGCAGCUCUAGAAAUACUGCAGGAUUCACCAGCCAAAACUGAUCUCUGCCAAUCAGUUCUGUGAGGCAAGACUCCAGGGUAGGUCUGGACCUACAUAAAGCCUCCAAAAAAGGUCUCCUUAUUUAUCAUCCAAGUACCAGAAAACUGGAUAAACUCUCAUCUGAGUACCAACCAAAGAUACCUCUUGUAUGAGAGGAUGAACAAAAACACAGGAUGACUGAUUUCUCUUACACCGAGACAGAAGCAGAAUUAAUCACUCUUGUCAACCUGACACAACUCUGCUCUGGAUAUUCCCAAAUGCCUCAAAGACACCUAGGUGAUUGUGAGAGAAUUCCCAGUGACCAUGGGCUGAUGUCUCAAUAAGCCAGGCUGGAGAGACUCAAUGAUAAGCCAGGCUGGAGAGACUCAAUGAUAAGCCAGGCUGGAGAGACUCAGGCUGACUCUAAGUAGAAAAUGGAACUGCCUUGGUGGAGCUCAAGAACCUGGAUCACCCAUUCUGAUUUGCUAGCAUUUGGGUAAGAGAAAGAAUGAAAAUAUUCUACUCCAGUAUCACAUUUUACAGGUAAAUAUAGUUGUGCACAUGGCUCUGGCUAUUUUGUGGACUUGAUGUCUCACUCCUAAGAUGUUUAUUUACACUUACAGAUUCUACCAUCAGAUUCUAUUUCCUCCUGGACACUCUUACAGUCUGACCCUUUUUUGUAAACCCCAGGCAGAAGCCAUACCUUAUCUGCAGAUU